rnacentral:rRNA from 1 species
CAGCGGCGUACGGGUAGCGGAACACGUGUGCAACCUGCCUUUAUCUGGGGGAUAGCCUUUCGANAAGGAAGAUUAAUACCCCAUAAUAUGUUGAAUGGCAUACAUUCGACAUUGAAAACUCCGGUGGAUAGAGAUGGGCACGCGCAAAGAUUAGAUAGUUGGUGAGGUAACGGCUCACCAAGUCUACCGGAUCUUUAGGGGGGCCUGAGAGGGUGAUCCCCCACACUGGUACUGAGACCACNGGGAACCCAAGAACUACCUUAAAGCCGGGACGGAGGCAAGGGGGGCCAAAGAGCCAACAGGGACGCUUAUAGGAACACGGCGGGGCACAACACGUUUCAAACUUAUCAGGGAGGGAAACCCCAGAACACUAUGAGGGGAGGACGAGUUUCACGGGCAAACUGGACAACNCUGGGCACACACCGUUUNAGGGANCAGUUUCCCGCACAAGAGGGUGUACCAAUUAGACACCACCUGAACCGGCUUUCUGGGAACACAUCUGCGGGGGGGAAAACCCCUCCUACGGGGAGAAAACNACCCCCAUUUUAGGGGGGACACGACGACCGCCCCUUUNUAAUAAAGCGCUUUUNUCGGCGCGAC